UACAGAGGGGGCAAGCGUUGUUCGGAAUUACUGGGCGUAAAGGGCGCGUAGGCGGCCUUCUAAGUCGAACGUGAAAUCCCCGGGCUCAACCCGGGAACUGCGUCCGAUACUGGAAGGCUUGAAUCCGGGAGAGGGAUGCGGAAUUCCAGGUGUAGCGGUGAAAUGCGUAGAUAUCUGGAGGAACACCGGUGGCGAAGGCGGCGAUCCUGGACCGGUAUUGACGCUGAG
rnacentral:rRNA from 1 species